rnacentral:tRNA from 1 species
CUUYGCGRGCUUCGGCUCACUAUCGGAUCGUUUUAGAAACAUCAGUGGCCAACAAUCGUCAGGAUUGUUGASCUGCAUUGGCGGGAUUUCGCCGUCUUCGUUUCUCUUUCUUCGCGGACRAACACGCGCUGGGGCUGCAAGUUUGCAGAGUCCCUGGUCCUUGACUGGAUAUGCGUUAGGGGCUUGUAGCUCAGUUGGUUAGAGCGCGCGCUUGAUAAGCGUGAGGUCGGAAGUUCAAGUCUUCCCAGGCCCACCACUUUCAUCRAGUGAGCAUUCGUCUUCUGGUUACGGGGCCAUAGCUCAGCUGGGAGAGCGCGUGCUUUGCAAGCAUGAGGUCGUCGGUUCGAUCCCGUCUGGCUCCACCAGAUGGUUUGAUCAUCMACUGAUCGUGCACCU